rnacentral:pre_miRNA from 1 species
UCUUCAUUUCACACACUCUCUCGACAAUCCGACCGGUGAGAGAGUGUGAGAAAUGAAGCGA